UACGUAGGGUGCUAGCGUUGCUCGGAAUUACUGGGCGUAAAGGGCGCGUAGGCGGCACUGUUAGUCAGGCGUGAAAGUCCUGGGCUCAACCUGGGAACUGCGCUUGAUACGGCAGAGCUAGAGGAUGGAAGAGGCUCGCGGAAUUCCCAGUGUAGAGGUGAAAUUCGUAGAUAUUGGGAAGAACACCGGUGGCGAAGGCGGCGAGCUGGUCCAUUACUGACGCUGAGGCGCGACAGCGUGGGGAGC
rnacentral:rRNA from 1 species